rnacentral:lncRNA from 1 species
AUUACAGGUGUGAGCUGCCACGCCUGGCCUGUUUCUUUUUCUGCUACUCCAUGUUGUGUCUCCAGGUUUCAGUGGUUUCAUAUGCAUUCAUUUAGCAAAUACUUAUUGAGUGUCUGAUGUUAGGCACCGUGCCAGAUCCUGACAAUACUCAGUCCCUAUCUUCAUAGAGCUUUUGGUAUGGAGGUGAAAUACAGGCAAGGAAGCUGGCAAUUAAAAUACAAUGUAAUAGAAGAAGACACUGGAGACUAUGGAACCAUAGAAGCAUUGAGUGCAUUUCCUCUCACCUUCAACCACUCAACCUUCCAAGCUGGGGAUAUCUGGCUACAGAGCCAAAGAUCCUGCAGGGACAGAAACCCACUCUGAGAAGUAUGAGGCUGGGUCAUCUAAGAUAAGUCUGCCUGUUCUUUCUGGAUGAAAAUGUGAUUGUUGUCACAGGUCCAAAGCCAAACACAUUUUGGGAAAGGUGGCAUCAAUUAACCCAGCCAGCCUCAGACCUUGAGACAUUUUUACGGUCUGUGCAACACAAGAAUCGAGAAGGAAAAGACGUCGUACCACUGCACUUGCAGAGAAGCUUUGUUUUCCAUCUCAGCCCUUGCUGCCUGUGCUAACAGUCGCAAUCCUAACAUCCUACCUGGACAUCAUCUUCCUGCCAUCAUCAUCUGAGCCUGGGGUCCCCCCAACCUUCCUGCUCUUAACCAAGUUCCGAGAGAUUCUGGGAUUCAGGGGCUCCCAAAACAGCUGUGAGCAACCUUCCUCAAUUGAGUCCCCACUCUUUUGGUUAUGCCUAGUGGAUAGAUGGACAAGUGGAACAACUUUUUUUUCCUAAUAUAAAAUUAAUACAUGCUUCUUGGGGAAAAAACAUAAGUAUAGAAAAAUAUGAAGAAGGGAUACAGAUCACCUGUAAACUUACUAUAGUUCUGGUAUCCACCCUUUCAGAUUCCAUCAGGAAUGAACAUUGUGUGAUGGCUAAGAGCCCAUACUCGGGUCAUCAGGACUAGACACAGUUCUGGCUGUGCCAUUACUAACUGAA